rnacentral:lncRNA from 1 species
CUUGUACAUUUUGAGUGCUUCUUGAAAACUUGGUUGACUAGAUUUUGUACCAUUUGAGGUUCAGCUGAUAUUCCCUGUGCCCUUUGCUUUCUUGGUCCUUUUGUUACUUGCUUAAAAGUUUGACCAAAUACACUUUGAUAUUUAUCCAACUGACUGCGAAGUUCUUGAAGGUGUUCGUCCUUUUCGGACAGUUGUUUUUGUAAUUCCAUAAUUUUUUCAUCCUUUCCUUUAAUCAGAAUUUGUAAAUCAUGCAUGGUGGUCAUUUUACGAUUAUUAUUGUCCAGAUCAGAGCUUCUGCCGACUCUUGGUGGACUCAUAGAGCCGGCUCGUACUGAAUUCAAUUUGAAACUCAUUAUACUAUAAAAUACACACAAUAAUAAUAAUCACAAUUAACAUACAAAUUAUACUUCCUUCACACCAUUUUAUCUAUCAUUCACAUAAUGAUUCGCAAACAAAAAUAUACGAGUUUAAGUUGAAACAGACUACGAUAAUAGUUUCCCAGAGUACAGAGAACGCACAGCUGAUUACAACAUUGAAAUAGACACCGAUAUUUUUUUGUACGACCAUAUGUCACAUGACCUGAAGAUUACAACCAAGGGCAGGUAGUGUAAAUCGAAUUUGGCUGGUCUUUCAUUCUUUUGGACAAAUUUAAUUUACCUGUGGCGUAUUGUACAUAAAUAACCAUUUAAUUACACGAAAACUUUUAAAUCUUCUUAAAUCCAAC